rnacentral:rRNA from 1 species
AAAUUGAAGAGUUUGAUCAUGGCUCAGAUUGAACGCUGGCGGCAGGCCUAACACAUGCAAGUCGAGCGGUAGCACAGAGAGCUUGCUCUCGGGUGACGAGCGGCGGACGGGUGAGUAAUGUCUGGGAAACUGCCUGAUGGAGGGGGAUAACUACUGGAAACGGUAGCUAAUACCGCAUAACGUCGCAAGACCAAAGUGGGGGACCUUCGGGCCUCAUGCCAUCAGAUGUGCCCAGAUGGGAUUAGCUAGUAGGUGGGGUAACGGCUCACCUAGGCGACGAUCCCUAGCUGGUCUGAGAGGAUGACCAGCCACACUGGAACUGAGACACGGUCCAGACUCCUACGGGAGGCAGCAGUGGGGAAUAUUGCACAAUGGGCGCAAGCCUGAUGCAGCCAUGCCGCGUGUGUGAAGAAGGCCUUCGGGUUGUAAAGCACUUUCAGCGGGGAGGAAGGCGAUAAGGUUAAUAACCUUGGCGAUUGACGUUACCCGCAGAAGAAGCACCGGCUAACUCCGUGCCAGCAGCCGCGGUAAUACGGAGGGUGCAAGCGUUAAUCGGAAUUACUGGGCGUAAAGCGCACGCAGGCGGUCUGUCAAGUCGGAUGUGAAAUCCCCGGGCUCAACCUGGGAACUGCAUUCGAAACUGGCAGGCUAGAGUCUUGUAGAGGGGGGUAGAAUUCCAGGUGUAGCGGUGAAAUGCGUAGAGAUCUGGAGGAAUACCGGUGGCGAAGGCGGCCCCCUGGACAAAGACUGACGCUCAGGUGCGAAAGCGUGGGGAGCAAACAGGAUUAGAUACCCUGGUAGUCCACGCCGUAAACGAUGUCGAUUUGGAGGUUGUGCCCUUGAGGCGUGGCUUCCGGAGCUAACGCGUUAAAUCGACCGCCUGGGGAGUACGGCCGCAAGGUUAAAACUCAAAUGAAUUGACGGGGGCCCGCACAAGCGGUGGAGCAUGUGGUUUAAUUCGAUGCAACGCGAAGAACCUUACCUGGUCUUGACAUCCACAGAACUUUCCAGAGAUGGAUUGGUGCCUUCGGGAACUGUGAGACAGGUGCUGCAUGGCUGUCGUCAGCUCGUGUUGUGAAAUGUUGGGUUAAGUCCCGCAACGAGCGCAACCCUUAUCCUUUGUUGCCAGCGGUUCGGCCGGGAACUCAAAGGAGACUGCCAGUGAUAAACUGGAGGAAGGUGGGGAUGACGUCAAGUCAUCAUGGCCCUUACGACCAGGGCUACACACGUGCUACAAUGGCAUAUACAAAGAGAAGCGACCUCGCGAGAGCAAGCGGACCUCAUAAAGUAUGUCGUAGUCCGGAUUGGAGUCUGCAACUCGACUCCAUGAAGUCGGAAUCGCUAGUAAUCGUAGAUCAGAAUGCUACGGUGAAUACGUUCCCGGGCCUUGUACACACCGCCCGUCACACCAUGGGAGUGGGUUGCAAAAGAAGUAGGUAGCUUAACCUUCGGGAGGGCGCUUACCACUUUGUGAUUCAUGACUGGGGUGAAGUCGUAACAAGGUAACCGUAGGGGAACCUGCGGUUGGAUCACCUCCUUACCUUAAAGAA